UACGUAGGGUGCAAGCGUUAAUCGGAAUUACUGGGCGUAAAGCGUGCGCAGGCGGUUUUGUAAGUCUGAUGUGAAAUCCCCGGGCUUAACCUGGGAAUGGCAUUGGUGACUGCACGGCUAGAGUGUGUCAGAGGGGGGUAGAAUUCCACGUGUAGCAGUGAAAUGCGUAGAGAUGUGGAGGAAUACCGAUGGCGAAGGCAGCCCCCUGGGAUAACACUGACGCUCAUGCACGAAAGCGUGGGGAGCAAACAGG
rnacentral:rRNA from 1 species